rnacentral:lncRNA from 1 species
CUCCUGAUCUACAAGACCUCAGAUGGAAAAGUUACUAGAACAGCGUAUAAUUUGCAUAAGGCACAUUGUGACCUUCCUGGUGUACCCUCCAGUCUCUCGGUUCCUUGGGUCCCAUUAGAUCCCAGUUACCUGUUACCAUAUCACAUCCAUCAUGGACGAAUACCUUGUACUUUUCCACCUAAAUCACUGCGCCCUGCAGCACAACCAAAGGUUGGUGCGACAAGAAUGCCUACCCGGAACCACAGGAAUCCAGUUUCCAGGGAAACCAAAAGCAGUUGCCUGCCUGUUCAGCAAGUUGAAAAUGAAGGAGUGGCUCAGAAUAAAAGGAAAAUAAUGUAAGGGCUGGACCACCGAAAGUAAAG